ACCCGAAGCGAAGUGAUCUACCCAUGGCCAGGUUGAAGCGACGGUAAGACGUCGUGGAGGACCGAACCCACUUCAGUUGAAAAUGGAGGGGAUGAGCUGUGGGUAGGGGUGAAAGGCCAAUCAAACUUCGUGAUAGCUGGUUCUCUCCGAAAUGCAUUUAGGUGCAGCGUUGCGUGUUUCUUAUUGGAGGUAGAGCUACUGGAUUGCCGAUGGGCCCUACAAGGUUACUGACGUAAGCCAAACUCCGAAUGCCAAUAAGUGAGAGCGCAGCAGUGAGACUGUGGGGGAUAAGCUUCAUAGUCGAGAGGGAAACAACCCAGACUACCAACUAAGGUCCCAAAGCGUGUGCUAAGUGGAAAAGGAUGUGGAGUUGCAUAGACAACCAGGAGGUUGGCUUAGAAGCAGCCACCCUUGAAAGAGUGCGUAAUAGCUCACUGGUCAAGUGAUUCCGCGCCGACAAUGUAACGGGGCUCAAGCACACCACCGAAGUUGUAGCAUUUGUACCAUUGCCAGGCCGUAAGGUCCAGGCGUACAGAUGGGUAGGAGAGCGUCGUGUGGCGAGCGAAGCGGCGGAGUAAUCCAGCCGUGGACGCCACACGAGUGAGAAUUCAGGCAUGAGUAGCGAAAGGCGGGUGAGAAACCCGCCGUCCGAAAGACCAAGGGUUCCAGGGCCAGGUUAAUCCGCCCUGGGUAAGUCGGGACCUAAGGCGAGGCCGACAGGCGUAGUCGAUGGACAACGGGUUGACAUUCCCGUACCGGCGAAGAACCGCCCAAACUAAUCAAGUAAUGCUAAGGCAAUGAAGCAGCUCUGAAGUCCUUCGGGAUGGAUUUGUUGUGGAGUUUCCGACCCUAUGCUUGUGCGGUUAACGUAUUAACAGGUGUGACGCAGGAAGGUAGCCUCCGCGGGGCGAUGGUUGUCCCCGUUUAAGGAUGUAGGGCGAGUCAUAGGCAAAUCCGUGACUCACAUAGCCUGAGAUCUGAUGAUGAGACCGCAAGGUCGAAGUGGGUGAUCCUAUGCUGCCAAGAAAAGCAUCGACGUGAGGUUCUAGCUGCCCGUACCCCAAACCGACUCAGGUGGUCAGGUAGAGAAUACUAAGGAUAUCGAGAGAACCACGGUUAAGGAACUCGGCAAAAUGCCCCCGUAACUUCGGGAGAAGGGGGGCCAGAGUGGUGUAGGAAUUUACUUCCGAAGCCAUGCAUGGCCGCAGAGACCAGUUGGAAGCGACUGUUUACUAAAAACACAGGUCCGUGCGAAGUUGCAAAACGAUGUAUACGGACUGACGCCUGCCCGGUGCUGGAAGGUUAAGAGGAACGGUUAGCCGUAAGGCGAAGCUGAGAAUUUAAGCCCCAGUAAACGGCGGUGGUAACUAUAACCAUCCUAAGGUAGCGAAAUUCCUUGUCGGGUAAGUUCCGACCUGCACGAAUGGCGUAACGACUUCCAAGCUGUCUCAACCGUGGACUCGGCGAAAUUGCAUUACGAGUAAAGAUGCUCGUUACGCGCAGAAGGACGAAAAGACCCCGUGACCUUUACUAUAGUUUGGUAUUGGUGAUCGGCGUUAGUUGUGUAGGAUAGGUGGG
rnacentral:rRNA from 1 species